CGGGGUGUAGCGCAGUGGUAGCGCGCGCGCUUUGGGAGCGUGAGGUCGCAGGUUCGACCCCUGUCACCCCGACCA
rnacentral:tRNA from 1 species